rnacentral:rRNA from 1 species
GGCUCUGACUUCGGGGGCGAUAACGGCGUCGAGCGGCGGACGGGUGAGUAAUGCCUAGGAAAUUGCCCUGAUGUGGGGGAUAACCAUUGGAAACGAUGGCUAAUACCGCAUGAUGCCUACGGGCCAAAGAGGGGGACCUUCGGGCCUCUCGCGUCAGGAUAUGCCUAGGUGGGAUUAGCUAGUUGGUGAGGUAAGGGCUCACCAAGGCGACGAUCCCUAGCUGGUCUGAGAGGAUGAUCAGCCACACUGGAACUGAGACACGGUCCAGACUCCUACGGGAGGCAGCAGUGGGGAAUAUUGCACAAUGGGCGCAAGCCUGAUGCAGCCAUGCCGCGUGUGUGAAGAAGGCCUUCGGGUUGUAAAGCACUUUCAGUCGUGAGGAAGGCGGUGUCGUUAAUAGCGGCAUCGUUUGACGUUAGCGACAGAAGAAGCACCGGCUAACUCCGUGCCAGCACCACCCGGUAAUAACUU